GGCGGGGCCGUCCCGAGCGGGACUAGGGUGAAGGUGAGGAUACCCGGUGCGAUGGCCUUUGUUUGGAGUGUGAAGGAAAGAACCCAACAGUUUGUAAGUCCUGAUGAAAUCUGCCAGAAGGAUUACUCAGAAAUGAUACUGGAUUAGAAAAUAUCUCCUGUAGCCGCCACAUUGAUGUGAGCUGAGAAGCCGAGUCGUGCAGUCAUUGACUGUCCUUCGUCACCCUGUAAAGUGGCUUAAGUGAGAUCCUGUCUCGGAGGCACCGGCUUCUCUCCUUCCUCGUGUGCAGGUGUUUCCACAGCAUCCUGUAUACACCUUCUGCAGGUUCUCAAGGGUCGCAGUGCCUCAGUUGUCUUUCCUGAUUCAGGAUUAUGGAAUCCCAGCUGUUGUUACAAAGGAAGUCAAGUCUGCAUUGCCUCCUAUCCCUCAGAUGGUAUCAUCAUCAUUAAUCCUGAAGCUAGACAAAGGUAAAGUCCAUGAGUGACAACUACCCACUUCUUCUCUCACUGAAUGCAGAAAUGAUUUGGAAAGAAGCACAGUAGUCUUAAUGGCGAUGAAAUCCUUAGUUUCUGACAAGGAGCUGCCAUCUCUUUGGACAUAACCUGCAGUCUUUCUGGUACCUGAGUGAAUGAUCAUGAAAACCCUAUUUCUUACCUUAACCCAGUCUUAUCAUGGUAAUAUUUCAUUAUGUUUCAUUCACCUUGGAACUUAUCCUCCUUUCUUUUUUUUCUGCCUCUCUCUACUUUCUUCUUCUUAAGCAAGAAAAAUAUAGGCAAGGAAUGGAUGAUGAGAAAACAUUUUGUAAAGGGAAAGGGCUAUAUCAAUGUGUGGGUUACUUGUGAUAAGGGCAUGAAAUUAAGGUGUGUCGACAGGGGCCAGGAAGAGAUGCAGGCAACAAUCUGUGUGCACAUUCGUUUUAUGAAGUAGUUUGCUAUGAUAUUGCAAUGCUUUUGAAUGUUCCUGGAAGGUAUUCCCGACUUUUUUUGGUAAAGAUUUUAUUCAUUUCCUCAUGAGAGAUACAGAGAGAGGCAGAGAAGCAGGCUCCCUGCAGGGAGCCCAAUGUGGGACUCCAUCCCAGGACCCCGGGAUCACGACCUGAGCCAAAGGCAGACACUCAACUACUGAGCCACCCAGGUGCCCCUAUUCCUGAGUUUUCACAUUUCAAACCCGAAAUUCAAAUUUCAAGUCUUUUGAGAAACUGUGUUUAAGCUUAAAAUUCAUGGUAUUUUAACUGGAAAGAAAAGUUCUGAUCCAAGAAUUACAGGCCAAGUGGAUUUCACCACCUUCAUGAGCCUCUGGAAGUCUCAGAGCGCUCCCGUGUGACAGAGUGAGGCUAGAAUCUGCUGCCCAUGUUUUGCAAGGAGGUUCUGGGGAGGGGGCAGCCGGGGGAAUGUGUGGAGGAGCUGUCCAGCCAGUGGGAGCCAAACAACUACCCAGCACUUGCGUGUGGGCCUGACACAUUUUUAAAUAAUCACACUGAGAGGGAACCAUCACUGUGCCCAUUUUACUGCUGAAGAAACUGAGUUUUGAGCAAUUAAUGAACUUGUCCAAUCCUACAACUGGUAAUAGAAGGAUUUGCCAUUGAAACCCUGGCAGUCUGGCUCCAGGGAGGGCCCCCAUUUUCAACCACCGUAAGACUGCCUCUCUGAUACUGACACAUAUACUAUUACCCAUGUUGUGUGGAAAUAAACUUCCAAGCCCAGAAGGGAGCUGCUUCAAGAGGGAGUUAUGUCAGCAAACUGAAACUUGGAUGACUUGUGUCCCUGUAAGUGCUUGGCUUGAGCAGAAACGCAGUCUCUUCAUUCAGCCAAUCCCCAAAUGCCACACCAGCUCUGGGCCUUCUCACCCCAAAAGGGUGGACUUCGCUACCCAGGCCAAUCUGGUACUUUCUAUUUGCAUUUUCUUCCUUCUUUAUCCUUUAAAAGCUUCUUGUCUUCCGCCCCACUUUGCAGUUCUCUGAAAGGAGACUGUUCACUCAAUGAAAUGUCAAAUAAAGUUUGUAUCACCUAAAUUGUCUCCCGUAAACAUUGUUUAACAGAGGUAAGAUGUUAAAUGGGGGACGACAGCCAGUACUUUAAGAUGGCCAAUGUUAGAUGUCAAAACAAAUUGCUGGACCAAAGUGCAUUUUUUCCAAAUUGGGUUGGUGAGCAUGUUUUAGAAAUUGCAAACUCUUUACCAGCAUCGGGGUCAAGGGUGGACAGUUGGGAUAGAAAGGAGAUGUGUGCAGAGAUCUGGGGGGAGCUGUUGCCAUACUCUCUCCACCCUCAAGGAGGCUGGGCAGUGCUCAGGCCUUCACCUCACACCUGGACACCGAGGCAUAGACAGACUCCUCAGAGAACUGAGGUUAGGGAGAUAGGGGACUGGCAUUUGCUGCUCGGGGAAUCUAGAGAACAGAAUAACUGGAGGGUAGGACAUGGGUUGAUGGAGAUUGGUGUUACACUGAGAGAAAACUCAGACUUUGUUUUUCACGGACACAGAGGCAGCCCCCAUGGGAGAGGGUAAGUAGUCGGAGCCCUCUGGCUUCUAGUCAAAGCCCUUUGACUCCAAAUCAAGAGGACUAUCUAGAAGCCACUAAGAGGGCCAAGGUGACCUCCCCACUCUCCGACCCUGGAGGGAAAAGUGAGGGUGGCUAGUGAGUGGCAGCAGAGGCCAAUGGGAAAGAACGAACCGGGACCGGCUGGUUCACCUUCUGUAACUGGUCCCAGCUGGCGAAGGGGAUAUUUAGCUACCUAAUUAAGACCACUGUCGUUGCAACUGAACUUGCCCUUUAGCUU